rnacentral:tRNA from 1 species
GGAGUAAACUCAGUGGUAGAGUUCUUGUUUAGCAUACAUGAGGCCUUGGGUUCAAGCCCCAGCACCA